rnacentral:rRNA from 1 species
GAGAGGAUGAUCAGCCACACUGGAACUGAGACACGGUCCAGACUCCUACGGGAGGCAGCAGUGGGGAAUAUUGCACAAUGGGCGCAAGCCUGAUGCAGCCAUGCCGCGUGUAUGAAGAAGGCCUUCGGGUUGUAAAGUACUUUCAGUCGUGAGGAAGGCGGCGUCGUUAAUAGCGGCGUUGUUUGACGUUAGCGACAGAAGAAGCACCGGCUAACUCCGUGCCAGCAGCCGCGGUAAUACGGAGGGUGC